UGAUUAUACUAGUAGUCCUUAUGCCCUGGGA
rnacentral:piRNA from 1 species